rnacentral:tRNA from 1 species
GCCCUUAAAGCAUUGUGGUGAUGCAGCUGUUUUGUAAGCAGCGGAGUGCAGUUCGAUUCUGUAUUGGGGCACCA